AGGAGCUAGAGAUGCGUGGAGUCAAGGCCAAGAUACCUGACAGGGAUGCAGGGAACGCAGGUUCAAGCUCUGCCAGACCCAAAAAUACACAAGAAAUUGCAGAAACCCCCUGGAAGGCCUAUAAUAUCUGGCCUAGGAUCACUAACAGCAAAUCUAUCUGAAUAUGUGGAUCAUUAGUUACAAGACAUGGUUUUAUGUUUAAAAUCUUAUUUAAAAGCCUC